GCCUGGCUGGCUCAGUCAGUAGAGUGUGUGACUCUUGAUCCCCGGGUUAUGAGUUUGAGCCCCAUGUUGGGCA
rnacentral:tRNA from 1 species